rnacentral:rRNA from 1 species
UUCUACAUCCAUACUACCCUGAGUGUGCCUGAUCUCAUCUGAUCUCAGAAGCUAAGCAGGGUCGGGCCUGGUUAGUACUUGAAGGGAAGACAGAUCUUCAGAAGAGAAC